rnacentral:rRNA from 1 species
AUUGAACGCUGGCGGCAGGCCUAACACAUGCAAGUCGAACGAGUGGCGGACGGGUGAGUAUUGUCUGGGAAACUGCCCGAUGGAGGGGGAUAACUACUGGAAACGGUAGCUAAUACCGCAUACCAUCGGAUGUGCCCAGAUGGGAUUAGCUAGUAGGUGGGGUAAUGGCUCACCUAGGCGACGAUCCCUAGCUGGUCUGAGAGGAUGACAAGCCACACUGGAACGGAGACACGGUCCAGACGCCUACGGGAGGCAGCAGUGGGGAAUAUUGCACAAUGGGCGCAAGCCGGGUAACGCAAUGCCGCGUGUAUGAAGAAGUCCUUCGGGUUGUAAAGUACUUUCAGCGGGGAGGCUUUACCCGCAGAAGAAGCACCGGCUAACUCCGUGCCAGCAGCCGCGGUAAUAC